AGAAGGGUAAGCUAAUCAAGCUAUUGGGCCCAUACCCCAACAAUGAAGGACAACCCUUCCUCUUCUA